GACAAACUUAAUUUACAUGCUUUCUUCCAUGAAACGGUAUGAAUAUCACUUUAAGAUUAAAGUCCCAUAGAUUUAACAGAAGUGUCUCAUAAUCCAUAUUUUGAAAAUUAUACAACAAUUGUCCCUACCACUUAUAACAAAAAUUUCUAUAACUGACCUAGAAAAUUAUACAACAAUUAUUCUUACCACUUAUAACAAAAUUUCCAAUGAUUGACCCACAAAAGGAUAAUAAUCACACUAAUAUUCAUGACCAAUAUAAUUGUUUAAAAUUCAAUUUCUUACAUGUCAUAAAUGAUUAACAAUAUAAAGAUAAAGACAUUAUUUUCAAAAAAAAACAUAAAGAUAAAGACAUGGUACAAUCGAAUUUGUUGACGAUGUCUUGGACAUAAAAGCAGCUCCGACGAUAAUAAUUUUGUUACCCACUUUCUAUCUUGGGAAGACCAACAUGAAGUUGUGCACAAAUAAUAUAACCAGCUCUCUUUAGUGGGCAUGGCCAACUGCACAGGCACAUUUUUGUGGUGCAGGGAAUAGCAUGGAAAUAUAUCAAGGCCGAGGAAAGUCUAAGAAAAUCUCAAAACUUUCACAAGCCAUCCACCAACUCCAAGAAGCAUGUGAAUGAUACGGAAUAUAAUACGGAGAGCUCGAAGACAGGGGAUGGCGAAGGACACUGAUCAAGAAGAAAACAGGACCGAGGUUUGCUGAGUCUGCAAGGCUGAAUUCCCCUACGGUCAGAUUCUUACGGAAAUAGAGAAAUACGGUUGGAGUUUGAUGGUCAAAGCCUUUACGGUCUUACCCGAAAAAGAGGAGCAAGUUAGUAACAAUAAUAAUCAAAAUUAAAAAAUUCACAACUAAAUAUACUUUUUUCAUCGAUGUUAGAAAGGCCGAGCAUUUUUAAAUUCUUCUCGUUAAGAAGCUCCCACGAGAGUCAUUGACCGUUAUCUUGGAUCAGCUCCUCAUAGGUAGUUUUAUCUACAUCAGAGAGAUGGGUGGAGUCCGCGUUUCCAUCAAUUACCUUGCCGAAGCUCAAACGGAACAAUGUUCCCUGUCACCCCCUUAUCAAAUCAUUUAAAGAAUUCCUUUUUCUAGUUUGUGUUGUUCACGGCGAUCGAGGUGCUAUUAAUAAUAUGGGGCUUAUUCGGUCUGUGGUUAAUUGAACUGCUGGCAGAGUUCUUAAAUUGAAAUUUUUUACUAAACAAAGGAACGGACAUAGUAAUGCCCUUUGAAAGGUACUAGACCAUUAAACAAUGGAUGAUCCUCCAAGCAUUGGGUGCAAACUGAAAUGGGUGUAUUUGAACUUCAGCUAAGAGUGUGCAAAUAAAAAGGAUGGAGAAAUAUAAAGCCCGGAUAAAAUGGCAUCCUUGUAUACAAAGAGGGAUUAUGGAUCCCGGUGACAAGUCUGAUCCCUGGCUUCAGCUAAAGCUAACCUGAGGGGGGAGGAAGGUUCAUUCUUUUACUAUAAGUAUUAACAGAAGCUUGACUAAAGGUAGAAGCAAAGCUGUAAGAAUCUAAACUAGUUAAGUUAUGGUAGUUGUCCCCCCACAAAUUGAUUAAUUCGAACAAAGACAUAUUGAGAAAUUAUUCGGGAUGAGUAUACCUCUCUUUACUUAGCUAAAACUCCUCUUAGCGAGCCUUGCUUUGUUUUUAUAUGCCAUGAUUCUCGAAGAGAAGAAGCUUGAUGAAAGUACUUGGACGAAAGAAGAAGUCAGUUGUUGGAAAGAGAGCGCUUGGAAAAGCUAGAGAAGAGAAACUAUGUUAUGUAAAAAGCAUGAGGAUUCUAGCCAUAUU
rnacentral:lncRNA from 1 species